GAUGAACGCUGGCUACAGGCUUAACACAUGCAAGUCGAGGGGAAACGGCAUUGAGUGCUUGCACUGAAUGGACGUCGACCGGCGCACGGGUGAGUAACGCGUAUCCAACCUUCCCGUUACUGCGGGAUAACCUGCCGAAAGGCAGACUAAUACCGCAUGUUCUUCGAUGACGGCAUCAGAUUCGAAGCAAAGAUCCGUCGGUAACGGAGGGGGAUGCGUCUGAUUAGCUGGUUGACGGGGCGACGGCCCACCAAGGCGACGAUCAGUAGGGGUUCUGAGAGGAAGGUCCCCCACAUUGGAACUGAGACACGGUCCAAACUCCUACGGGAGGCAGCAGUGAGGAAUAUUGGUCAAUGGGCGGAAGCCUGAACCAGCCAAGUAGCGUGCAGGAGGACGGCCCUACGGGUUGUAAACUGCUUUUAUGCGGGGAUAAAGUGAGGGACGCGUCCCUUUUUGCAGGUACCGCAUGAAUAAGGACCGGCUAAUUCCGUGCCAGCAGCCGCGGUAAUACGGAAGGUCCGGGCGUUAUCCGGAUUUAUUGGGUUUAAAGGGAGCGUAGGCCGGGGAUUAAGUGUGUUGUGAAAUGUAGGCGCCCAACGUCUGACUUGCAGCGCAUACUGGUUCCCUUGAGUACGCGCAACGCCGGCGGAAUUCGUCGUGUAGCGGUGAAAUGCUUAGAUAUGACGAAGAACCCCGAUUGCGAAGGCAGCCGGCGGGAGCGCAACUGACGCUGAAGCUCGAAGGUGCGGGUAUCGAACAGG
rnacentral:rRNA from 1 species